UUUUAUAUUAAAUAUUUCUCCUUCUGUAGUUCUGUAAUUUUCGCGUUUCAUCACUCACUCCUUUUUUCUCUACUUUCGUCUUCUUCCUUAAUUCUCUUCCUUCAUUUUCUUCAACAUUGAUGGUAGGCAUUUCUUCAUUGGAAGGAAGGAGAACGUGAUGCACCACUUUAGGAACCCUAAAAUCAAGCUCAUUCGUUAUGAAAACGUCAUCGAGCUUCUCCUUGUGGAGAUGAAUCAGAUCAACCAUUUAGAGGUCGUGAGAGGUGAUGAAGCUGCUUGCAUAAUGGGGAAGGAAUAGAGGUUGUUGUUCGAGGAGAAAAACCUCAUGUUCCAGCCGCUGGACUUGACCGGUCUGAUGCACACAUUGAUGGUGUUGUACGAUCUGGUGUGGAUCCUGUAGGAGGUCGACAGAGUCUUGCCAAGUCUUACCUCAGAACAAUCCACUUUAACUUUUCUCAGCGAAUGUUGAAUUUUUGGAAUGCUAAGCACAAACUUGAGUCUCAAACUUCAUGCUUUGAGGAUAAAUUUGGAGAUAGAGAUAUUCAUGACAGUUCAGAUGUAGCUGCUUUGUAUCUACAAGUCAAUAUAGUUAGCCGAUAUUUGUAACCCGUUCACGCAGUUGGUCCUCUCUUGAACGCCCUGGAUUGUUGUUAGUAAGCACUUUCGUUAUUUGCUUAGCUGGUAAGGAUGAUGAUCUUCUAUCAUAUCUGCUAGAAUUGGAUUUGUGAAACUGAAAAGUGAUCAACUUAGAGUGUUUCUUCAUUAUUAAAAUUAUGAGAGAAGGUCGGUGAUUGUGAUGCAUUAUUUUAAUUCAAUUUUUUAUUUUUGGGAAAGAAGUGACAUUUGUUUGGAGAGUGAUAAUUUUAAAAUGUUUAUUUUUGUUUGGUUGGACUCAAUAUUGUCCUGUUCUAACAUCAUGUUGAUUUUUGCAGAUGUGGUAAGAACAUUAUAGAUUUAUCAUUGUCUAUGAAUUUGUAUAAAUAUUUAGAUAUAUAUCUUACAUUUCUGACACUUGAGAUUAUCGAGCUCUAGAAAUGAGAAAAAGCUAGAUCAUGUGCUUUUGAGUCCUAGAUGUCUUCAUACCAUAUAGUGUGCAUAUAUGUACUUAGAUUCAACUUCUUCAAUUUCCUAGGUGGUUUGUUGUGUUUCUGCGAUGAGAAGGUUUUCUACAACUAAUCAGGGAUGUGUUGUUGAAGCUAGAAUGAUGAUUCGUGAGUAUAUACCAUUAUGUUCAUGCAUUUUCAAUGUAAUGAUUUUACAUAGUUAACCAAUUAGAAAUCUGUGACUUUUAAAGUAGUUAUUACAAAGUUCAACUAUUUUAUCUUAAUUUAAUGUGAUUAGAUGACAAUAUAAAUUUCUUUUACACUAUCAGUUUAUUUAAAUUUAAUUCAGUUAUUUACUUACGUAUAAAAAUAUUCUUUUAUAUAAAAAUGUAAUGGACCUAGCUGUUUAUACCCAUCAACUAUGAUGGAUAAAGUCACCAGCAGAGCUUAAGCUGGUGAAGGAAUUUGCAUCCAUUGCUUGUCAGACAUGCCCUUUUGAAGGUACACUUGCAGCAAAGGUUGAAUAUGAAUGCAAAAUUAGAGGUGCCCAAUGGAUGGGGUGAGGAGUUUUUUAUAUAUUAAUACUUCAUCUAUUGUUGUUCAUAAUUUAAGAAGCUUCCAACAAAUAAAUAAAAGUAAAGAAGUCGUUAAUAGAAAAGAAAUUCAAGUUUAAGGAUCACUUUCAUCCAUAACUAAUGAUAUAGCCUUUCUUUUUUUUUCUCUGUAUCAGAUUCAAUCUUGUUGUUGGUGGUGGACUUAAUGGAAGCAUUAUACAUUAUUCUAGGAAUGAUCAAAGAGUAAAUUCAUUUAACAAUAAACAUUCUUGUAUAUAGCAAGUCUAUAUUCAUCUUAUAUUAGAAAAAAAUUCAAGUUUUUAAUAUAUCUGCAGACUACUUUUUCAAUAAAUAAUUAAUAUAUUUCUCAUGAUUAAAUUGUAAAUUUUGGGAAAGGGAAUUAUCAUAUUACAUAAAUGCUAUAAGUUUUAGGUUGUUAUUAUGUUGUUUCUAGAUAUAUGUAUGCAUGAGAAAAAGAUUUGGUUAAUGAUGAAGUCAAUAAUUUUGUUUUAGUAGCUUAUUGAUAUUUCUUAUGCUUUUUGUUUUGGUGUCUCUUUUAGGAAAAUUUCCAAUAGUAGCUAACUGAUAUGAAGGCUAGGAACUAGUUUGUGGUUUGCCCUAGUUCAUGUUGAGGUUUUUGUGGAAUGAGGCAAGGCAUUUGAAGUUUGAUCCUGUUUAUAAGCAUGUUGGGAGUAAACAUUUUGUGCUCAAAACGCUUUACUUUCUUCCUUAUAUAAGCCUUAGAUAAGUUUAUUUCUUCUCUUCCUUCAAUUUUAGGGAAAACAUAAAUAAUAGUGCAGAGCACAUACUAAAUUUAUAAAUAGGUUUCACUUAUUAUGGGUCCUAUUUUGUAUGAUAUGAUAUUUACAGUACAAUUAUUUGUGCACUGUACAAGAUAUAUCACCUGGAGUUUUUCGAUGGUUAGUUAACAAUAAUCUUCACUCUAUUCAUGAUGUAUAUGAAACAUUAUGCUUUAGGAUUUCUAAUUUAUUCUUUCCAUGUCAAGGUUACUUUGAAAGAUUAGGAAAGGAGAGUUAGUAACAUAAACAAAUAAGAUUUGCACAUGAAUGUUGUGUAGUGAAUGAAUCAGAUGAUGUGGCGAUUGUAAUAGUAUAGGACCUGGAAUGGAUAGAGUAGACUUGUUAGAACCAAUUUUGUUCCUUUCUGCUAAAGCACAAUUAGUUAUGCUGACAUUUACCUUAUUACAACAAGGAAGAGCAUUGAAUGUAUAUUUUGUGUAUAUUUUACGGUUGCAAACCAUAUCCUAGGUUUUCAAUCACAAACUAUUGUACUUUUCUCUGUAUG